AUUGAACGCUGGCGGCAUGCCUUACACAUGCAAGUCGAACGGCAGCGGACCUUCGGGUGCCGGCGAGUGGCGAACGGGUAAGUAAUAUAUCGGAACGUACCUUUCAGUGGGGGAUAACGUAGCGAAAGUUACGCUAAUACCGCAUAUUCUGUGAGCAGGAAAGCAGGGGAUCGCAAGACCUUGCGCUGAUUGAGCGGCCGAUAUCAGAUUAGCUAGUUGGUGAGGUAAAGGCUCACCAAGGCGACGAUCUGUAGCGGGUCUGAGAGGAUGAUCCGCCACACUGGAACUGAGACACGGUCCAGACUCCUACGGGAGGCAGCAGUAGGGAAUUUUGGACAAUGGGCGCAAGCCUGAUCCAGCCAUGCCGCGUGAGUGAAGAAGGCCUCGGUUGUAAGAC
rnacentral:rRNA from 1 species